rnacentral:rRNA from 1 species
GACGAACGCUGGCGGCGUGCUUAACACAUGCAAGUCGAGCGGUAAGGCCCUUUCGGGGGUACACGAGCGGCGAACGGGUGAGUAACACGUGGGUGACCUGCCCUCAGCUCUGGGAUAAGCCUGGGAAACUGGGUCUAAUACUGGAUAUGACUCCACGGUGCAUGUCGUGGGGUGGAAAGCCUUGUGCGGCUGAGGAUGGGCCCGCGGCCUAUCAGCUUGUUGGUGGGGUGANGGCCUACCAAGGCGACGACGGGUAGCCGGCCUGAGAGGGCGACCGGCCACACUGGGACUGAGACACGGCCCAGACUCCUACGGGAGGCAGCAGUGGGGAAUCUUGCGCAAGUGGGCGAAAG